rnacentral:rRNA from 1 species
GUGGGGAAUCUUAGACAAUGGGCGCAAGCCUGAUCUAGCCAUGCCGCGUGAGCGAUGAAGGCCUUAGGGUUGUAAAGCUCUUUCAGCUGGGAAGAUAAUGACGGUACCAGCAGAAGAAGCCCCGGCUAACUCCGUGCCAGCAGCCGCGGUAAUACGGAGGGGGCUAGCGUUGUUCGGAAUUACUGGGCGUAAAGCGCACGUAGGCGGAUCAGAAAGUCAGAGGUGAAAUCCCAGGGCUCAACCUUGGAACUGCCUUUGAAACUCCUGAUCUUGAGGUCGAGAGAGGUGAGUGGAAUUCCGAGUGUAGAGGUGAAAUUCGUAGAUAUUCGGAGGAACACCAGUGGCGAAGGCGGCUCACUGGCUCGAUACUGACGCUGAGGUGCGAAAGCGUGGGGAGCAAACAGGAUUAGAAACCCGAGUAGUCC